rnacentral:tRNA from 1 species
GCCCUUGUAGCUCAGUGGCAGAGCACUCCCUUGGUAAGGGAGAGGCCGGCAGUUCAAUCCUGCCCAAGGGCACCA